rnacentral:rRNA from 1 species
AUUGAACGCUGGCGGCAGGCCUAACACAUGCAAGUCGAGCGGAUGAAGGGAGCUUGCUCCUGGAUUCAGCGGCGGACGGGUGAGUAAUGCCUAGGAAUCUGCCUGGUAGUGGGGGAUAACGUCCGGAAACGGGCGCUAAUACCGCAUACGUCCUGAGGGAGAAAGUGGGGGAUCUUCGGACCUCACGCUAUCAGAUGAGCCUAGGUCGGAUUAGCUAGUUGGUGGGGUAAAGGCCUACCAAGGCGACGAUCCGUAACUGGUCUGAGAGGAUGAUCAGUCACACCGGGACUGGGACACGGUCCAGACUCCUACGGGAGGCAGCAGUGGGGAAUAUUGGACAAUGGGCGAAAGCCUGGUCCAGCCAUGCCGCGUGUGUGAAGAAGGUCUUCGGAUUGUAAAGCCCUUUAAGUUGGGAGGAAGGGCAGUAAGUUAAUACCUUGCUGUUUUGACGUUACCAACAGAAUAAGCACCGGCUAACUUCGUG